rnacentral:rRNA from 1 species
GACGAACGCCGGCGGCGUGCUUAACACAUGCAAGUCGAACGGAAAGGCCUGCUUUCCCUUGUGGAUUGCGGGUACUCGAGUGGCGAACGGCUGAGGAACACGUUAGUCAUCUGCCCCCAACUUGGGUAUAAGCCUGUGAAACUUGGUCUAAUUCCCGAUAGGACUUCAGUGUGCUUCCUGUGGUUGACAACGAUUUUCUAGUGGUUGGGGAUGAGCUCGCGGCCUAUCAGCUUGUUGGGGGGGUAAUGGCCUACCAAUGCGGCGACGGGUAGCCGGCCUGAGAGGGUGGACGGGGUCAGUGGGAAUGAGCUACGACCCAGACUCCUAGGGGAGGCAGGAGUGGGUACUAGUGGACAAUGGGCGGAAGCCUGAAGAAGCGACGAAGCGUGGGGGAUGCCGGGCUUCGGGUGGUAAACACCUUUCGACGGAGAGGAAGCCACUUGGUUGGAAGGGUGGUGACGGUAGUGGUAGAAGAAGCACCGGCUAACUCCGUG